CAAAACCACUCACCCUUCUCUCUUGCUCUCACACUUUACAUUUCUCUUCUCUCACUCACCUCACAAACCCUAGUCUUCCUUCACUACCCUCCACCCAAGCCGCCUUCUGCCGUCACCGGUCUUUCCUUAUCUCUAUCCCAAACGAACAGUCACCGGUCUUUCCUUAUCUUUACCCCAAACAAACAGUCACCACCAUCAUCACCACAUUCACAUGUAUUUUGACUCACUCAAUCUCUCUUUACCACUCACCCUCACAGGAUCUCCAGCUUUAUCUAGAUUUAACUAACUAAUAUUUCAAUCCUUCAUUCUUGGUGUAUCUUGAAGUCUCUUUAUUCUCACAUCUACAUGUGCCAUAUCAAAGUAACAGAUCUGUUACUUUACCAAUAUCAGAUAAAUGGGUUUCUUGAUGUAAAGAUCCCCUGCGCCCAGUCAGCGUAGGUUCACCGUAUGCCUUCGUAUCUUCACCACUUGAUUCACAGUAGGAUUAAUCUAAAGGUCCAGGAUAAGCUCCCUACCACACACCCUCAGAGGCUGCCCAUACGGGAUCGAAGCUAAGUUUUCCAAUUUAUUUAUUUAUUUAUUUUGAUUACAUAAAUCCCUUUAUUUUUCUUUAUUUUUUUUCUUAUAUUAUAAUUUCUUUUUUCUUAUUUAUUUAUUUAAACAAAUUAGUGUUUAUAUAAUCUUCCUUUUAAUAAUUUAUUUAUUUUUAAUCGAAGACUCGAUUUUUUUCAUAAUCUUAUCAAUAAUUAUUUUUAAAACAAUAAAAAUUAUUAUAUAUAUUUUUAAUCGAUAAUUAAUUUUUAAGUUUGUUAAACUCGAUUCACUUAUAAACCCUAGAAUCCUCUGGUAGGUGUUAUCUAUUAACGCAUUUUUAGCCUUACAAACCCUUUAGGUCACAAUAAGUUUUCUUGAAUAAACCUGUUAGGUUCAGGGUUAGGGUUUGUAAACUCUUUAGGGUUUAUAGAUCUUUGAUCAAUUAAGGUUUGUAGAUCAUUCAUACACUAAAAUGUGAAAAUUUUCAGGGUUACCCCAAUAUCUUCCGACUACGCGCCGUCAAAUCAAAAGCUAAGUUUUCUAUUUCCUUCUUAAUAUCAUUUUUAUUUUUAUUUUUUGCCUUUUGAUUAAAAUAGGGUUUGUUCCAAUUACCAAUGAAUUUGUAAUGCGCUCACCCCUAUUAUUUUUUGUUUAAUUCUCAGAUGUUCAGAGUCAAUCGAAGGUUCGAGGAAGAUCAAGGCUAAGAUAAAGAUAAAUAAGUUAAUUAUUUAUCUUUCUUAUUUUUCCGCCUUUUAAAUUCCCCCAUCCCUGCAGGUGUUUAUUGUAAUAGCGUAGGAAAUUUUAUUUCUGCCUUUUAUUUUAUUUUAAUUGCGUGGUUAGUAAUUUAGGGAGUGAUAACUAUGAAUUGAAUGUAGAUCACCUAAUUACAAGAUAAAUGUCAUCGAAGUUAACCACAUGAUUGUGCACCCACACACCUUUAGGGUAAUCCCUCUUGUUGCCUUUGUUGCCUGUUGCCUUAUGAUUCUGUUGCCUCUAAGUGUACUAAAUAGUCACGUCCCUCGAUUCCGAGGAUACCUAAAGCAAUGUUGCCUUCAAAGUUAUUGAAACUCCCUUGAGGUUGCCUUAUAAAAGAUGAUUGUCCCAAUUGCUAAGGUAUCCUCGCAUGAUGCCUAAAAAGAUUAAUGACUAUUAUAUCCUUCCCUUAGACUACCUGCCCUCUUUAUGGUAGGGACAGUCUUAUGGUGAACGAUACUUUUCUCGAUGACCCUCAACAUCCAAUGAAAGGACUUCCUACCCUCUUAUGGUAUGUGUGGACCGUCCUUUCGGGCCAUACCCCUCCGUGGUGUGGGAUACGUGAACUGACUCCUUUUUUGUCGAUCGGACGCUUUCGCGCCACUUUUGAAAAAGUUUACAGAGUCGCCACCGACCUUUUAUUUUAUCCAAUGAAGGAAAGGUUUAUAAAAGAAACAGAAAAAAGACCUUUGAGAGAUUCUGGGUAAGGGGGUAGGUUAUACAAAGGGAAGGUGUUAGCACCCUUUGUAUCCAUGGUUAUCCAUGGGCUCUUUAGUUUGCUUAGCUCAUUUGCUUUACUUUUCAAUUGAUUCGGAAUGCUUUACCUGUGUUUUUGAAAUACCUUUGCAAAUAGAAUUUGUAAUGAUCCUUGUGCGGAUAUAUACAAAUGCUUGUUUAUCUUUCGAAAGAUGUUUUGAAAAGAUCGUUAAUUUUGUAAUGAUCCGUGUUUGGAUGUAUACAAAAUAUUGUCUUUUGGAAAAUUCGUUUUUAAAAAAACAACAGUGUAUGAGAAUUUUGUUUGUUUUGAUUUUGAGCAAGCAAACUAGGAGGUCUACCCUGAGUUAGGAGGUCUUUAUCCUUGUUCCCUUUAAAAAUCUAUCCAUUCGUCGGAUAUAAACAAAAGGUUCGAUUUUGUACUCGAAACAGUAGAGAUGUGACUUUGAUUUUGAAAAGAGUGAAAAGGGAUUACCCUAAGAGGUGCAAAUGUGAUUGUGAUUGAAUUCAGAUAUUUAUCUUUGAAGUUAGUGAUCUGACGGUUCAGUUUUAUCUUUGACAUACACGCAGUUUAUAUGGGUACUGGAAAUUAAAAUGCGGGAAUGUAAAGUGCGGAAAGUAAAUCUACGCUAUUACAUCGAUUUUGCGGGAAAUGUAAACUAACCUAUUUACAUGAAUUUGACAUCCUAUACAUUUAUCUAGGAACUUUAAAUUGCAAGAAA